rnacentral:tRNA from 1 species
AUCUAAAUAGUUUAUUAAAAUAUCAGUUUGUGGGACUGGAGAUAUAAGUGAUUAUUUUAGGUA